rnacentral:lncRNA from 1 species
UGCAUAUUUACAAUGAUAUUGUCUGUUUUCAAGGCAGUAAAUAUUGUGUUUUCUUUUUCUUUCUUUUUUUUUUCACCUAACUUGGUUUCAGUUAAGGUUGAUUUUGAGGGAGCUGGUUUAACAUCAAAGCUUUCCUCACCUAAAGACAUGCUCUGCCUCUCUACCUCUCUACCAGGGUACAGAGACAUGCUAACUUAAGGACACAGAGAUCUUCAAGGGCAACAGAGAAGCACCACCCACCUGGGACCUGGCUUUGCAACACGUCUCUCAGAGAUGCUGAUGGUUAGGAGCUCCCACAUGCCAGGCGAGGCAGCGGGGAGCGAUCAGGAAGCGCGUGCUUUCUCCUGGACCUGGAGCCGAGAUCCUCUGCAGGAGCAUCAACCCCGAUCGCAGAGAUCCCCAUGGUGGGCUGCAGCCGCUGAGAGCCACAGGCUGCUCGGUUUGGAGAAAGGCUGAAAAGUCGUCAGUUAUUGCUAAACCAAGUUGGUUCCAGACUAUAAAACUGAUAUAUCAUGAAGAGAAGAGCAGUGUCCUUCAGAAGCAGAUCUUGCCCUCUGCCCACAGCCACACAGGGCUGAGCCAGACCGAGUCCAAAGGCAGGCUUGUUGGAUCCAACCCCGCUGGAUCACCGUGUCUCAGCCGCUGAGGUCCCUCCUUCAAGGAAGGGAGAAAGAAGUGGAGCUGAUGCUCCAUUCAUCAUGAUGCUCCAUGGUUUCACCUGUCUCAAAACGGGCAAGCGACACGGCUGCAGCUCCCGCACUCAUCCUCACGGGAGGUCAGGGUCUGAAGGGACUGAAUGGCUGAAGACCACCAAAGGGGGGAUGAGGCGUCUGGGGCCCAUGGCAGGCUUUACGCAUGAGAACUGCUGCCUGCCCCCCUUGCUCGGCCAAGGACUGCGUUUGAAAGAAGAUCCUUGUAGCAAAGUGGGGAUAAUAAUAACAGUGUCAAGGACACCAUUCAAGUUGAUGCCUGGAGAGCUAUUCAGUAUAGACCUAUUUACGGCCAUUAUAAAAUGCCUGUGGAUAGUUCAACGACCGAUUUUCAAGAGUCUUUCUCUACUGUUUGAAGGAUCAGGAAAAUCUAUCAAGCUGGAGAAAUUAAGCUAUUUUUCUUCAGGGGAAGAGAAACAGAGUAGGGAGCUUCUUACAUUAAAAUGCUGCUGUAGAUUCCCGAUGAAUGAAAAAUUGGUCUGCAUAAUAAUGAGCCAGGAGAUAGAUUUUUAAAAGGCUUAAAACCACUCUUCACUGCUGCUGUUGCAGCAAGCGGAAUUUAAGGCGAUCGUGCCCGGUUUUGCUUUAUAAAGUUAAGAGAUCGCUGGUCUCCGGUCGGUUGGCAGCAGAUUUUCUUUUCUUUGGUGGCUUCUCAAGCAGCAAAGCAAGAAGUGGCUGGAUACCGGCAGGUAGGGGCUUAGCUUCGAGCUACCGCC